CAGAAGAUAGUUUAUAAAAAUAUUAAUUUUGGAGAUUAAUGAUAAAGAAUUUUUCUUUUCUUUUGA
rnacentral:tRNA from 1 species